rnacentral:rRNA from 1 species
CGGGAAACUGGGGAUAAUACUCCAUAGUUUGUGCUGACUGGAAUGUUACGCAAACGAAAGAUCCGUCGCUCCAGGAUGAGUCUGCGGCCGAUUAGGUAGUUGUUGGGGUAACGGCCCAACAAGCCUGUCAUCGGUACGGGUUGUGGGAGCAAGAGCCCGGAGAUGGAUUCUGAGACACGAAUCCAGGCCCUACGGGGCGCAGCAGGCGCGAAAACUUUACCAUGCGGGCAACCGUGAUAAGGAAACCCCGAGUGCCAGCAUAGGCUGGCUGUCCACCAGUGUAAAUAACUGGUGAAGAAAGGGCCGGGCAAGACCGGUGCCAGCCGCCGCGGUAACA